rnacentral:rRNA from 1 species
AGCCAGAUGAAGAUAUUUUUGGUUUAACCUGCCCAAUGUAUUUUAUGAAUGGCCGCGGUACUCUGACCGUGCUAAGGUAGCGUAAUCAGUUGGCUUUUAAAUGGAGUCAGGUAUGAAUGGGAUAACUGGGUUUAGCUGUCUCAAAAACAUUUAAUUGAAUUUAAUUUUUAAGUGAAAAAUCUUAAUGUCAGAAAAGGGACGAGAAGACCCUUAGAAUUUUAUUUAAUAUAGAUUGUUUUCUAUUAUCAUUUUGUUGGGGCGACAAAGAAAUAAUUAAAACUUUCUUUAAUAGAUUAGUCGGAUUUUUCAGGAAAGGAUAAAUUACCUAAGGGAUAACAGCAUAAUUCUACAGUUGAGUUUGUGACCUCGAUGUUGGACUAGGGAGCUGGUGGGUUAGCUGCUCAUCGUGCGGAUUCUGUUCGAAUUUUAACCCCU